CCUACGGGAGGCAGCAGUGGGGAAUAUUGGGCAAUGGGCGCAAGCCUGACCCAGCAACGCCGCGUGAAGGAAGAAGGCUUUCGGGUUGUAAACUUCUUUUCUGAGGGACGAAGAAAGUGACGGUACCUAAGGAAUAAGCUGCGGCUAACUCAGUGACAGCAGCCGCUGUAAUACGUGGGGGGCAAGGGUUAUCCGGAUUGGGUGGGUGUAAAGGGCGUGUAGGCGGGACAGCAAGUCAGAUGUGAAAACUCAGGGCUCAACCCUGAGCCUGCAUUUGAAACUGUUUUUCUUGAGUGCUGGAGAGGCAAUCGGAAUUCCGUGUGUAGCGGUGAAAUGCGUAGAUAUACGGAGGAACACCAGUGGCGAAGGCGGAUUGCUGGACAGUAACUGACGCUGAGGCGCGAAAGCGUGGGGAGCAAACAGGAUUAGAUACCCUUGUAGUC
rnacentral:rRNA from 1 species